rnacentral:rRNA from 1 species
GAUAUGAUCCAGAGUACCACGGGACACGUGAAACCCUGUGGGAAGCAGGAGGGACCACCCUCCAAGGCUAAAUACUACCUAGUGACCGAUAGCGUAUAGUACCGUGAGGGAAAGGUGAAAAGAACCCCGGGAGGGGAGUGAAAUAGAACCUGAAACCCUGCACUUACAAGCUGUGGAAGCACAUUUCUUGUGUGACCGCGUACUUUUUGUAGAAAGGGCCAACGAGUUACGUUAAGUAGCAAGGUUAAGCACUUAAGGAGUGGAGCCGUAGCGAAAGCGAGUUUUAACUGAGCGUUCAGUUACUUGACGUAGACCCGAAACCGUGCGACCUACCCAUGAGCAGGAUGAAGCGAAAGUAAAAUUUCGUGGAGGUCCGAACCCACGAGCGUUGAAAAGCUCGGGGAUGACUUGUGGGUAGCGGUGAAAUUCCAAUCGAGCCCGGAGAUAGCUGGUUCUCCCCGAAAUAGCUUUAGGGCUAGCCUCAAGGUGAGAGAUACGGAGGUAGAGCACUGAAUGUCCUAGGG